UCAAAGAUAAAACUUAUUUUGUACAGAAAAAUGUUUAUUCUAUCGAGUUGUUUUCCGCAAAUUUAUACAUCUAUUUCUUAACAUGUUUAUUUUUCAUAUUGCAUUGUACAAAAUAUCAAAUUAUAUAAAGUCAUUUCUCAGUGAGACUAGAAUGACAAGAAUUAUUUAUUCUGAGUUGAGUUAUUUGUUUCAAAUUGAGUCAUUUGUUCAAAACUAUGUAGUGUUUUUACAAGAGUAAUAAAAUGUGCAACUGUAUAACCAAGAAGAGCACCUAAAACACAUGGAAUUGGCCAAGCUUGCCAUGGUCGAUCCCAGUCUAAUGGAAUCACAAUAGCACCUAACCAUGUACCUAAGAGAGUAGCUUGAAUAUUUGUCUUCAAAGCAUCAAUUAAAACAUUGCCUUUCUGUAA